rnacentral:rRNA from 1 species
UAGGGAAUCUUCGGCAAUGGACGGAAGUCUGACCGAGCAACGCCGCGUGAGUGAAGAAGGUUUUCGGAUCGUAAAGCUCUGUUGUAAGAGAAGAACGAGUGUGAGAGUGGAAAGUUCACACUGUGACGGUAACUUACCAGAAAGGGACGGCUAACUACGUGCCAGCAGCCGCGGUAAUACGUAGGUCCCGAGCGUUGUCCGGAUUUAUUGGGCGUAAAGCGAGCGCAGGCGGUUAGAUAAGUCUGAAGUUAAAGGCUGUGGCUUAACCAUAGUACGCUUUGGAAACUGUUUAACUUGAGUGCAAGAGGGGAGAGUGGAAUUCCAUGUGUAGCGGUGAAAUGCGUAGAUAUAUGGAGGAACACCGGUGGCGAAAGCGGCUCUCUGGCUUGUAACUGACGCUGAGGCUCGAAAGCGUGGGGAGCAAACAGGAUUAGAUACCCUGGUAGUCCACGCCGUAAACGAUGAGUGCUAGGUGUUAGACCCUUUCCGGGGUUUAGUGCCGCAGCUAACGCAUUAAGCACUCCGCCUGGGGAGUACGACCGCAAGGUUG